ensembl:lncRNA
AGUCACGUGACCAAACCACGCCUCGGCACAGUGGCUCGAUACGUUUGCUUCAUGAGCUACAGCGCAUGUGUCGAAGCCUCGGGUAUCAGAGGACCAUCACUACUCAUGGCGCCUGCGCAGACGCUCGGUGGAAUUUCUGUUUACGUUUGAAUCAGCGACUCGCUCCUGGAAGCUGCGGAGAUUUAACCGGUAAAAAUGUGAUUAAAGUCAACAUUGAUCAUCAGUUCCUGGCUGCUGUGGAGAAAAUCUGUGGACCAGAGACAGACUUUACUGUCGGUGAACGUUUAUUACCGGUUCCUGAUUUCCCAGCAGGGUUGGCGUUCCUCUGAAUAUGUUUCCGGUGAUGAAGAUAACUCCAUCCAAAGCUUCCAUGCAGACGUCCGUCGCUGCAGCGAAGAUCAAGAAUAAGAUUCUCAACACCUCGUCCUUCUUCAAGGUCUCUCUGAAGACCAACAAUAAGGCUCUGGCUCGGGCUCUGGAGGCCCAGAAGGAAAGAUGUCGGGAGCUGGAGAAGGAGGUGGUCUUCCUGAAGAAACAGAUCGAAGCCGACUGCUUCGAACGGGCGACCAAGAACUACAAGCAGAGUAAACUGAUCCUGAUCGUGAAGAACCUGCUCAGUAACACUCUGCAGCACUGGAACAUGGUGACGGAUCUGUUCCCUGAACCCGAGCUUUCAGAAGAUGCUUUGAUGUUCCCUGAAAUCAACCAGGCUCCUGCUGCAGCAGAAAGCCUCACAGAUCAGUUGCUGCUGCAGCCGGAAGUUUUCAGUGGUUCUUUGUGUCUGACUGAAACCGAAUCAGCUGACCAGCCUGAGAAGAUCCCCAGCAAAGACGUCUGCAGCGUCCAGAGACACGACAAGUCCUCACACGUUUCUGAUGCAGGAAGAGUUCUAUUGUCGCUGACGAACACGAUGUCGACUCCAGACGGGGAAGCUGGAGGAAGGACCAGGAGGAGGAGGAAAGGUGUGGUCAAUUACCUCGAGCCGACUCUGAGGAGCAAACUGAGGCGAGGAGACGAACACACCGACAGCACGUUCCUCAGCUCCCCAAUGUUCAAGGACAAGAGGAAGAAGAAAACUGUCAGCAAAACCAAGACAGACAGACCCAUGUUACUGGACUGAUUAUUAUCAGUUUCUCUGUUUAACUUUAUUUUUAGUUGUUUUUUCAAGUUUGCCUUAAAGUUCAAUAAAGAUGUUUUCUGGUAAAUUUGAAGUAUCUUUAAAGUUUCUCCUGGAGGUCAGUCCAUUUAUAGUCUGUGUUACGUCAUCUAACAAAAAUAUGCAUUUUCUUUUCAUUUCUGACCAUUUUAUCGAUAAAAUUAUACUUGAGUCACUGAAACCACAACUAGUAAAACUAGUUAGAAAUCUAGUUGUUCUUCUCAAUUCUUUACAUUUUGGAUAAAACCUCCUUAGAAAACUCUGUAUUCUUUGUAGUGGAGGAAAUAUUUGUAGUACUUGAGUCAUUUUUAUUGCUUCUGUGCUUCUAGUACAAAUGUUUCACUCCACUAUAUUUAACGGCUGUUUCACUGAAGGGCUUUAACUAAUAAAUGUCAUCAAUUU